AUGAGGCUCUUCUUCGGCAGCAACAGCAAGUCGAAAGGCAAGGCCCCCGCCGUCCCCUUCCCCGUGGAGUUCACCCCGCCUCCGCCUGCGCCGGCUCGCCGGCAGAGGCAGCGGGUGAACGUGCCCGUGCACCAGGCGGAGUGGUACUGGCGCCACCGCGUGCCGCUGCCGUACCUCGGCAUAACGCUGCCGCAUGACUGGCAUCUGGAUCCGGAAAGGAUCCCAGUGCCGGCGGCGCCGCGGUCGGCUAGGGCGCAUGCGGAGGAGGUGCAUCGCUGGCGGGCGCUCCUGACGCCGGAGCAGCACCGCGACGAGGCCUAUGCCUUCGACUCGCCCAACUGGGCGCGCUGGUUCGCCUUCGAGCACGAGGAGGCGAGGCGGCGCGGCAUUAGAGGACGCCUACCAGGCGGCCCUUGCGGUCGUCUAUCGAGAGAGCGAGGAGGACGAGCGGCGCAGGGCAGAGGCGGCCGAAGAAGAAGAAGCUCGGUAUGA
rnacentral:rRNA from 1 species